UUGAACGCUGGCGGCAGGCCUAACACAUGCAAGUCGAACGGUAACAGGAAACAGCUUGCUGUUUCGCUGACGAGUGGCGGACGGGUGAGUAAUGUCUGGGAAACUGCCUGAUGGAGGGGGAUAACUACUGGAAACGGUAGCUAAUACCGCAUAACGUCGCAAGACCAAAGAGGGGGACCUUCGGGCCUCUUGCCAUCGGAUGUGCCCAGAUGGGAUUAGCUAGUAGGUGGGGUAACGGCUCACCUAGGCGACGAUCCCUAGCUGGUCUGAGAGGAUGACCAGCCACACUGGAACUGAGACACGGUCCAGACUCCUACGGGAGGCAGCAGUGGGGAAUAUUGCACAAUGGGCGCAAGCCUGAUGCAGCCAUGCCGCGUGUAUGAAGAAGGCCUUCGGGUUGUAAAGUACUUUCAGCGGGGAGGAAGGGAGUAAAGUUAAUACCUUUACUCAUUGACGUUACCCGCAGAAGAAGCACCGGCUAACUCCGUGCCAGCAGCCGCGGUAAUACGGAGGGUGCAAGCGUUAAUCGGAAUUACUGGGCGUAAAGCGCACGCAGGCGGUUUGUUAAGUCAGAUGUGAAAUCCCCGGGCUCAACCUGGGAACUGCAUCUGAUACUGGCAAGCUUGAGUCUCGUAGAGGGGGGUAGAAUUCCAGGUGUAGCGGUGAAAUGCGUAGAGAUCUGGAGGAAUACCGGUGGCGAAGGCGGCCCCCUGGACGAAGACUGACGCUCAGGUGCGAAAGCGUGGGGAGCAAACAGGAUUAGAUACCCUGGUAGUCCACGCCGUAAACGAUGUCGACUUGGAGGUUGUGCCCUUGAGGCGUGGCUUCCGGAGCUAACGCGUUAAGUCGACCGCCUGGGGAGUACGGCCGCAAGGUUAAAACUCAAAUGAAUUGACGGGGGCCCGCACAAGCGGUGGAGCAUGUGGUUUAAUUCGAUGCAACGCGAAGAACCUUACCUGGUCUUGACAUCCACAGAACUUUCCAGAGAUGGAUUGGUGCCUUCGGGAACUGUGAGACAGGUGCUGCAUGGCUGUCGUCAGCUCGUGUUGUGAAAUGUUGGGUUAAGUCCCGCAACGAGCGCAACCCUUGUGAUAUGUUACUAACAUUGAGUUGAGGACUCAUAUCAGACUGCCGGUGAUAAACCGGAGGAAGGUGGGGAUGACGUCAAAUCAUCAUGCCCCUUAUGACUUGGGCUACACACGUGCUACAAUGGCGUAAACAAAGGGAAGCGAGACCGCGAGGUGGAGCAAAUCCCAAAAAUAACGUCCCAGUUCGGAUUGUAGUCUGCAACUCGACUACAUGAAGCUGGAAUCGCUAGUAAUCGCAGAUCAGAAUGCUGCGGUGAAUACGUUCCCGGGUCUUGUACACACCGCCCGUCACACCAUGGGAGUCGGUAACGCCCGAAGUCGGUAGUCUAACCGCAAGGAGGACGCCGCCGAAGGUAAAACUGGUGAUUGGGGUG
rnacentral:rRNA from 1 species